rnacentral:rRNA from 1 species
GACGAACGCUGGCGGCGUGCCUAAUACAUGCAAGUCGAACGAAGUUAUGAGGGAGCUUGCUCCCGAUUGACUUAGUGGCGGACGGGUGAGUAACACGUAGGCAACCUGCCCACGAGAUCGGGAUAACAUUCGGAAACGGAUGCUAAGACCGAAUAGUCAAUUUGGCCGCAUGGCCGAAUUGGGAAACACGGAGCAAUCUGUGGCUUGUGGAUGGGCCUGCGGCGCAUUAGCUAGUUGGUGGGGUAAAGGCUCACCAAGGCGACGAUGCGUAGCCGACCUGAGAGGGUGAACGGCCACACUGGGACUGAGACACGGCCCAGACUCCUACGGGAGGCAGCAGUAGGGAAUCUUCCACAAUGGGCGAAAGCCUGAUGGAGCAACGCCGCGUGAGUGAGGAAGGCUUUCGGGUCGUAAAGCUCUGUUGCCAGGGAAGAAUAAGAGCCAGUUAACUGCUGGUUCGAUGACGGUACCUGAGAAGAAAGCCCCGGCUAACUACGUGC